rnacentral:rRNA from 1 species
UCCGUAGGCGGGUAAUUAAGUCAGAGGUGAAAUCCCACAGCUUAACUGUGGAACUGCCUUAGAUACUGGUUAUCUUGAGUUUUAGUGAAGUAGAUAGAAUGUGUAGUGUAGCGGUGGAAUGCAUAGAUAUUACACAGAAUACCGAUUGCGAAGGCAGUCUACUAACUAACAACUGACGCUAAUGGACGAAAGCGUGGGGAGCGAACAGGAUUAGAUACCCUGGUAGUCC